rnacentral:rRNA from 1 species
AAUCUUCCGCAAUGGACGAAAGUCUGACGGAGCAACGCCGCGUGAGUGAAGAAGGUUUUCGGAUCGUAAAACUCUGUUGUCGGAGAAGAACAAGCAGGAAAGGAACCGUUCCCGCCUUGACGGUACCCGACCAGAAAGCCACGGCUAACUACCUUCCAUCAGCCCAGGUAAUACCUAGGUGGCAAGCGUUGUCCGGAUUUAUUGGGCGUAAAGCGGGCGCAGGCGGUUCCUUAAGUCUGAUGUGAAAGCCCACGGCUCAACCGUGGAAGGUCAUUGGAAACUGGGGAACUUGAAUGCAGAAGAGGAGAGUGGAAUUCCAUGUGUAGCGGUGAAAUGCGUAGAUAUAUGGAGGAACACCAGUGGCGAAGGCGACUCUCUGGUCUGUAAUUGACGCUGAGGCUCGAAAGCGUGGGGAGCAAACA